rnacentral:rRNA from 1 species
UGCGUAGGCGGAUAGGUAAGUCAGAGGUGAAAUCCUACAGCUUAACUGUAGAAUGGCCUUUGAUACUGCUUGUCUUGAAUUAGGUUGAGGUCAGCGGAAUGUGGCAUGUAGCGGUGAAAUGCAUAGAUAUGCCAUAGAACACCAAUUGCGAAGGCAGCUGGCUAGGCUUUAAUUGACGCUGAGGCACGAAAGCGUGGGGAGCGAACAGGAUUAGAUACCCUGGUAGUCC